rnacentral:tRNA from 1 species
AGCCAUGUAGCUCAGUUGGUAGAGAGCUUGCUUAGCAUGUACAAAACCCUGGGUUAGAGUCCCAGCAUCGCAA